AGAAUAUAAAAGUAUAUGAAUUCUCUUGAAAUUUAAAAGGGCAAUAUCAAGUCAAUUAACAAGUUUACAGUAACAAAGUGGUUAUUUGAACUUUAGUACUUGUUAACAUGAUUAAUUUAGACUUAAAUAAGAUUUUGAACUUUUUCAAAAACCUAAACUCUUUCAUUUAUUUAGAAUAGUUACAAUCUUGUUUUUACCAUUAAAGUGAAGAAAUAUAUUUAAUACGUUUCUAAAUCUCUGCCAGACAUUUCCAUGUUAUCUGAAAAAUAAAAUGUUCAUAUUGAUAGAGAUAAAGUGGUUAGUUAAAGUUAACUAAGAUAAUUUGACUAAUCUAAAAGUGAUCUUAAGGUGAGAAUAUGGAUGCAAUAUCGACAGUAGAUUAUUAGAAAAUAGUUUGCUCUUUCUCAUCAAGUCUCGGUAAGAGGAAGAGGACGAUUCGCAGCGAAUGUUGCAGCCUUGAUGACCGUGGAAAAAUUAAGCUGGAAGAGAAAACUUUCUCAUGACUCCGACGGCCGUCACCAGUCGAGCAAUUAGUUCGCUUUACGAUCAUGGAAUCUUAAAAAGUUUUCCACUUUUAAAACGAUUCGAGGAUCGUGCGAUUACACAACAGUCACACCGGCGCCACCAUGGAUUUUUUUCUUCUUCCGCUGAGGUUACACUCGAAGCAGUAAAAAUAAAUUUGACGAUUGUCCACUGUAACAUUUCAGCUUUUUGCGUUUCAUAAAUUUACACUUGAUAUCGGCGCUUUGGAAUUCACUCGACCGCUUUCUCCGUAAAGAAAGUGAAGUUGCAGAGAAGGAAGAAAGCAUCGAAAAACAAAAUAUCAUUCUACACGAAUGAAUGGAGGAAUAACUUGACGCCCACUAUGGAGACAUGCAUAUCGAUUUACGUCAUUCUUACAGAAUUGUUCUUGCUAAAGAUGUUUGUGGCAUGUUCAUUGAUGAAUUUCUUUCUGAAUCACGCCAAAAGAUGCAAUCCGCUCGAGAUGGAUGUCCUAAGCUAAGAGCCCAUCAUGCGGUUAUUUCGCAAUAUUUUUCGCACCACUUCCCACGAUCAGCGAUGCGUAACUUCUUUCACAUUCAAUACGUUCAAUAGAAAAUUAUCAUGGAAAAUUUGUAAGAUUUGAUUAAUCAUUAGUAAAUUUCUUUUACAAUUGCAAUUGAAGAUAAAAUAAUGAUCUAAAAGAUUGAUGUGUAAAAUUUUAAAAGUUAUGAAAGAAAUAUUUAUUAUUUAUAAAUUAUUUAGAUAAAUGAUUGUUGGAAUAUAUGGCAUAUUAUUAGUAUCUAUUAUAUUAACAUUGUUAAAAUUUUUUUAUACGAUUAUUUUCUAGAAGAAGAUUUUUUAGAGAAAGAAUAUCUAAGAAUAAAAUAUAAGAAUUGGAAGAUGCUCCACAAAGUAAGUAAUUUUAUUAAUUUUUUGAUGCGGAUGAUUAAGAAUAGUGGUUCAAAAUUAUUACUAUUAUUACUUCGUAUGUAAAUAUUCAAGAUAAAUCUAAAAACUUUACAUAUUCGUGAUCGCUAAGUUAAUGAUUUGCAUUUUUCUUCUUCUAGUUAAUCUUCAAAAAUAUAAGAUACUCGGGUACAGUGAAAUUAAAAUUGCAUCUUAUAUGCUAAUUUCUAACUAUUAAUUACUUAAAUGUCAAAAGUUGAAAUCGAUAUUUUUAUUUAACAUAAAGUUUGCCAUUGUUUAUGCAUGAAUAGAAAUAGAAUAUGCGAAGAGUAGAAAUAUAUUUGAUCUCAUGAUAAUUGGUUCUAAAAUAUGUCACUGACACAAAAAAUUUAUAACUUGAUAUUUAAUUUUAACAAUAUAAUAUUGUGAAGCAUAAAUCAAUUUAAUCAUCAAUUUUUGUAUAAAGAAAAAAAGUCAAUAAUAUUUAAUAUAUUUUAAU
rnacentral:lncRNA from 1 species